GAGAGAGAGAGAGAGAGAAAUUUGAUGAUGAGGGAUUCUUGAUUAUCAACUAAUCAAAACCUCGUCUUUCUUCAUAAAGAAGAUAUCCUCUGAUCUGAAGCGUACUAGUUUGCAUGUAUUUAUUGUUGUACUAAGCAAUCCAAAUCCUAAGUAUCAUCAUUAGAGCACACUAAAAUUCAAAGAUUAUUAAGAAUUUGAUGAUGAAAGAAAACUUGGAUUGAAAGAGAAGAAAAGGGUUAAACUUGAAAGUACUAUUCCUGUAGUGAGGAACAUAG
rnacentral:misc_RNA from 1 species